AACUUACGUAUAUAAUAAGGACCCCAUGAAAAAAUAAUGCAUGGCCAUAUCAAAAACUUUAGUCAUCUGUCUCUCUCUCUCAUAUUCUCUUUUUUCUCUUCCCUACCUCCCACACUUCCCCUGUCUGCCAUAAAUACAUAAAAAAGUUGAGGGGAAUGUCGUCUGGUUCGAGAUCAUUCAUGUAAGUAGUCUCAGACGUAACUCUUCUGGGUGAUUUCGGACCAGGCUUCAUUCCCCUCAGCAACCAACCAAAAGCAGACACUAUUUUCUUCCACUCCUAUACAUAGACAACCUUCUUUUCCUUUCAUCACUCUCCUUCUCAUGUCGUGUUCUUGAUGUUCUAAGGCAAUUGUACAUCAUUGCAUAAAACGGGGAAACUGCAGUUACAGGUGACAGGAACAUGCAGAUGGUAGAGUAUGGAUCGGGGAGUAUCACUUGUCCGUUCAAUUGCACAAAAGGCGAAAAGAACAGUAAAAUAAUUCUGGCAUGUUUCACCUGGGAUGGAAAGAAAACCCCCAGGCAGAUGAAAUAAAAAGAACAGUUAGAGACAGCCUUAAAAAGGAGUUCGUAGGGUCAUCCCAAUUCCCAAAGCAGACUCCAGUGUUGGUUCAUUCCAUGAUUGAUUAAUUACAGGCAGAGGCUCCAUAGAAUCAGAUUCCAGAUCACUUACCUAAGCCACCAAGCAACUUCCACCUAAAAGAGACUUCAGAAGGCACAGAUAACAAACUACAUGCUUCUUUGGCACCUGCAAAGCUGGCAUGCACAUGCCACAGAACCACCAAUUACACCACCUACACCUAAACCUCCUUUUUUCUGCAUAUUUCCCAACAACCAAACAUUAACCUCCAUUCUAUUAUCAUCACUCACUAGAGCAGCUAACACAAAAAUGAAAACUUCCCUUUCAUGCUACACCUGCAACACAUUGUUACAUAAUCUAAUUCACACUUUUAACAAAUUCUCUAAACCACUCUCUUAUAGAUAAAGUUUAUGGAGAUUUUUUUUUUCCAAAUUUAGUUUGCUAUUUUUUUAGUUUUUGAUAAAUUUUUAAACAAUAAUGAAGCACUUGUUAAAAGACAUACGUUUAAAGAUAAUGUUAGUACUCCUCUUCUUACAAAACCUGUAAUAUUGCACCAGAUCCUUUGCAGAGGAGUUUUUCUGAAAAAGAAAAUGUUAGAUCUUCAGCAAAUUUUUAU